AUUGAACGCUGGCGGCAGGCCUAACACAUGCAAGUCGGGCGAAAGGCGGACGGGUGAGCAAUGUAUGGGGAUCUGCCUGAUGUAGGGGGAUAACUACUGGAAACGGUAGCUACUACCGCUUACGAUCAGAUGGACCCAUACGGGAUUAGCUGGUAGGUGAGGUAACGGCUCACCAAGGCGACGAUCCCUAGCUGGUCUGAGAGGAUGAUCAGCCACACUGGGACUGAGACACGGCCCAGACUCCUACGGGAGGCAGCAGUGGGGAAUAUUGCACAAUGGGCGCAAGCCUGAUGCAGCCAUGCCGCGUGUAUGAAGAAGGCCUUCGGGUUGUAAAGUACUUUCAGUCGGGAGGCGUUACCGACAGAAGAAGCACCGGCUAACUCCGUGCCAGCCGCCGCGGUAAUUC
rnacentral:rRNA from 1 species